rnacentral:rRNA from 1 species
UACAGGGGGUGCAAACGUUGCUCGGAAUCAUUGGGCGUAAAGCGCACGUAGGCGGUUCGUUAUGUCGGAUGUGAAAGCCCUUGGCUUAACCGAGGAAGUGCAUCCGAAACUGGCGAGCUAGAGUACGAAAGAGGAUCGCGGAAUUCCCGGUGUAGAGGUGAAAUUCGUAGAUAUCGGGAGGAACACCGGUGGCGAAGGCGGGUCACUCG